UGCGUAGGCGGAUUAAUAAGUCAGUGGUGAAAUCUUUCGGCUCAACCGAGAAACUGCCAUUGAUACUGUUAAUCUUGAGUUCGGUUGAGGUAGGCGGAAUGUGUAAUAUAGCGGUGAAAUGCUUAGAUAUUACACAGAACACCAAUUGCGUAGGCAGCUUACUAGACCGACACUGACGCUGAGGCACGAAAGCGUGGGGAGCGAACAGGAUUAGAUACCCUGGUAGUCC
rnacentral:rRNA from 1 species